rnacentral:pre_miRNA from 1 species
ACAACAUUCGGACCGAGUCGGUUUACUGAGCAAUAUCACCCACUCGGUGGAAGAUGUUCCCUUCGUCGU